rnacentral:lncRNA from 1 species
GGGGCAGUGGGGCCAGUGGAGAUGGAGGGACGCGGGCAUCACCUCUGCUCGCCUCCAGAGGGCGCUAUGGCACAGGGCGGAAAGAAGUCUUCAACCAGCUUUCUAACCUGAGUGCUGUGUUUUCCAAGGGGAAGGACAAGUGGAGAGAGUGGAGAGGAAAGGAAAUACACAUUACAGUGAAAAAACUCCUGGUUGGGUCCCUGAAGCCACUGGCUGGUGAACUUGAGCAAGCACUUCAUCCUCUAGGGCUGUCCCCAGGCCCUUCCAGACUCCCGGACAAGCAGAGCCUGCUAAACCCUGGAAGCUGCCCUUCCACACAGCAUUUGAAAGUUCUGGAGGAAAAGAGCAGAACUUAGCUCCGCAUGUCUUUCCCUGAGGUCCUGCACAUCCUCUCCUCCUUGAAGUACCAGCUCAAAGGCGCUCCUCCUGAGAGAGUGCCCCUUGCUGGAUGACCUGCUCCUGGAGCUUCUUCACCUUGACUUUCCUCACUAAUGGAGCUGCCUGUUCCUCUGUGCUGGUUCCUGUCUCCAACUCAUCCUGGGAAGUGUUCUGCCUCCAAGAGGACCCCACAGCUGGAAGGGCCACCUUAGUCCAAGACUCAUCCCAGAGCCCUAACAAGACACAGUGACCAGGGCGGUCACCAGGUCAUCAACCUCGUCUCAUCUCUUGCCUCAAGGAUUCAGGUACCCCCCUCAGUCCCCAUUAGAAAUAAUCCCCAGCCCCUCAUUCCUCUCUCCAUCAUCUCCCAAGAGAGCGUUCUGCAUCCCUCUUCUAUCCCAUGUGGUGGGGAGUCACUCACAUUUAGAAGCUCGCAUGCUGGCUGCUGACAGUUCUCCAG